CCUACGGGAGGCAGCAGUGAGGAAUAUUUGUCAAUGGGCGUAAGCCUGAACCAGCCAAGUCGCGUGAGGGAUGAAGGUUCUAUGGAUCGUAAACCUCUUUUAUAAGGGAAUAAAGUGUGGGACGUGUCCUGUUUUGUAUGUACCUUAUGAAUAAGGAUCGGCUAACUCCGUGCCAGCAGCCGCGGUAAUACGGAGGAUCCGAGCGUUAUCCGGAUUUAUUGGGUUUAAAGGGUGCGUAGGCGGCCUUUUAAGUCAGCGGUGAAAGUCUGUGGCUCAACCAUAGAAUUGCCGUUGAAACUGGGAGGCUUGAGUAUGUUUGAGGCAGGCGGAAGGCGUGGUGUAGCGGUGAAAUGCUUAGAUAUCACGCAGAACCCCGAUUGCGAAGGCAGCCUGCCAAGCCAUGACUGACGCUGAUGCACGAAAGCGUGGGGAUCAAACAGGAUUAGAUACCCCAGUAGUC
rnacentral:rRNA from 1 species